rnacentral:tRNA from 1 species
UGUGGAUGUAGCUCAGUCGGCAGAGUGCUUGCCUCAAAUGCACAAGACCUUGGGUUCAAUAUCCAGCACCAUAG